AUUACUUUGGCAGAUUUAGUGCUUUAAAUUUAGAAUUUAAAUAGACAUAAUUUAUUUAUGUAAGUAAUA
rnacentral:tRNA from 1 species